GACGAACGCUGGCGGCGUGCUUAACACAUGCAAGUCGAACGGAAAGGCCCCCACUUUUUUGGUGGGGGUGCUCGAGUGGCGAACGGGUGAGUAACACGUGGGUGAUCUGCCCUGUACUUCGGGAUAAGCUUGGGAAACUGUGUCUAAUACCGGAUAGGACCAUGGUUUAGUGUCUCAUGGUGGAAAAAUUAUUGUUUUGGUGCAGGAUGAGCUCGCGGCCUAUCAGCUUGUUGGUGGGGUAAUGGCCUACCAAGGCGUCGACGGGUAGCCGGCCUGAGAGGGUGGCCGGCCACAUUGGGACUGAGAUACGGCCCAGACUCCUACGGGAGGCAGCAGUGGGGAAUAUUGCACAAUGGGCGCAAGCCUGAUGCAGCGACGCCGCGUGGGGGAUGACGGCCUUCGGGUUGUAAACUCCUUUCGUUAGGGACGAAGCCGCACCUUUUUUGGGUGUGGUGACGGUACCUUUGUUAAGAAGCACCGGCUAACUACGUG
rnacentral:rRNA from 1 species